rnacentral:miRNA from 1 species
GCAGACACAUUCCAGCCAAUCAGCAGCAGACCCUCCCUCCCAGACCCUUCCACCUCCUGGACAGCAUCCAUUUUGAAGCUGCAUUCUUAGUGAGCUGUCCAGAAGGUGGGAGGGUCUGGGAGGGAGGGUCUGCUGCUGAUUGGCUGGAAUGUGUCUG